GGAGGAUCAUUAUCGUAGGGCUUCGGCCCUGUCGAGAUAGAACCCUUGCCUUUUUGAGUAUCUUUCGUUUCCUCGGCAGGCUCGCCUGCCAAUGGGGACCACAAAAAACACUUUGCAGUACCGGUAACAGUCUGAACAAACAAAACAAAAAUUAAAACUUUCAACAACGGAUCUCUUGGUUCUGGCAUCGAUGAAGAACGCAGCGAAAUGCGAUAAGUAGUGUGAAUUGCAGAAUUCAGUGAAUCAUCGAAUCUUUGAACGCACAUUGCGCCCUUUGGUAUUCCUUAGGGCAUGCCUGUUCGAGCGUCAUUUAAACCUUCAAGCUAAGCUUGGUGUUGGGUGACUGUCCGCUUCACUGCGGACUCGCCUCAAAAUUAUUGGCGGCCGGUACAUUGGCUUCGAGCGCAGCAGAAACGCGAACUCGGGCCCGUCGUAUUGGCUCCCAGAAGCUAUCUUCACAAUUUUGACCUCGGAUCAGGUAGGGAUACCCGCUGAACUUAAGCAUAUCAAUAAGCGGAGGA
rnacentral:rRNA from 1 species